GCUGUGCCUGCCUGUCAGGAACCAUGUCAUCUGAAGCAGGGCAGGCUAUAAGACACUUUCCGACCCCAGUGAACGGAAAUCAAUUGCUUUCCAUAGGAGAAAAAGGUCAACCCAGGACGCAACAGACCCAGAACAUUAUCAUCUGAGAGCCUCGGGAUGUCAUAUGAACGCAUUUUGUCCAUCCAAAGUUUGAGUGAGGUUGAGAACCCAUGGAAAAGCAUUACUCUGAACCGUUGCAUAGUGUUGGCCAUCAUCAUUGUGCUUGUGAGCUCAGGGGUGAAUGAAGUACAUGAUGCUCUGGAUGUACUUCUAGAGGACAAGGUUCUUCCCCAGAUGUUCCUUGGAGGCACGGGUCUACAACCAGACGGCGUAGCUCAGCCUGCAGCCUCUCUGUGGGACAGCUUGCUGAGUUGGGGCUCAGACGAUGGAAGAAAAGGAAAUCCAAAGAGAAGAGGGGGAAUCUUGAGAAUCAGAAAUAGAGAUGUGUCUGACAAAGGGCUGUUAAAGGAAUGAUCGAGGGAAUACAUUAUGGAGAAUGGUAAAGGAGGGGAAAGAGGAGGAUAGUGCAACAAAAAAGGAAAACAUUUUCUGAAGGACUAAUCAAAGUGUGUUUAUUAUGUUGAAAUAUAAGGAUAUAUUGUAGUUAAAAUGUUACUACUGUAAAAAAAAAAAAGAAAAAAAAUGAUUUACAGUACAUCACAAUGAUCUUAAAUGCACCAUACAGUCUUAUCUGAUCAUGCAUAAAUGUUCUUCAUAUUUAAAGGGUAUACAGAAAUCAAUAAGAUGAGCUGGUUCCUAUCUCGUAUUUGAUGAUCAAUAUAUUCUUUCAGCCUUCAAUACGAUCAUGUGGUGCAAAUUGAUAAUGCACAAAUUGUACUUGAAAGAUCCAAUAUGUGCACUGAGCCAAUGAGUUUUCUAUUUACAUAACUGAGUGACAAAAUGUGUAUUAAAUCAGCUAAUAUUGUAGACAACUAGAUGUGAUAAUGUAUUUACAAUAAACAAAAUAAAUGCACUCAAUGAUUUAAAACA